rnacentral:rRNA from 1 species
UGGAGAUGACCACAGGGAUUGCCCUAGUAACGGCGAGUGAAGCGGCAACAGCUCAAAUUUGAAAUCUGGCCCUCGGGUCCGAGUUGUAAUUUGUAGAGGAUGCUUUUGGUGAGGUACCUUCCGAGUUCCUGGAACGGGACGCCAUAGAGGGUGAGAGCCCCGUCUGGUUGGAUACCGAGCCUCUGUAAAGCUCCUUCGACGAGUCGAGUAGUUUGGGAAUGCUGCUCUAAAUGGGAGGUAUAUGUCUUCUAAAGCUAAAUACCGGCCAGAGACCGAUAGCGCACAAGUAGAGUGAUCGAAAGAUGAAAAGCACUUUGAAAAGAGAGUUAAAAAGUACGUGAAAUUGUUGAAAGGGAAGCGCUUAUGACCAGACUUGGGCUUGGUUGAUCAUCCUGGGUUCUCCCUGGUGCACUCUUCCAGUUCAGGCCAGCAUCAGUUCGCUGCGGGGGAUAAAAGUUUUGGGAAUGUGGCUCCCUCGGGAGUGUUAUAGCCCAUUUCAUAAUACCCUGCUCCGGACUGAGGUUCGCGCAUCUGCAAGGAUGCUGGCGUAAUGGUCAUCAGCGACCCGUCUUGAAACACGGACCAAGGAGUCGUCUUCGUAUGCGAGUGUUCGGGUGUUAAACCCCUACGCGUAAUGAAAGUGAACGCAGGUGAGAGCUUCGGCGCAUCAUCGACCGAUCCUGAUGUUCUCGGAUGGAUUUGAGUAAGAGCAUACGGGGCCGGACCCGAAAGAAGGUGAACUAUGCCUGUAUAGGGUGAAGCCAGAGGAACUCUGGUGGAGGCUCGCAGCGGUUCUGACGUGCAAAUCGAUCGUCAAAUAUGGGCAUGGGGGCGAAAGACUAAUCGAACAUCACGC